GCCCAAAGGGGCACCACCACCUCCGCCCCACCCACUGGGAUUUGAGGCUAUUCCAGGAGUCGGCCCUGCUCUGCACAGGCCCUCACUGGAGGGGAGGAGGCUGCCCCCUCCCCCUGACACUCCUCUGAGAAGCCAUUCUUCAUCGCAGCUCCUGCAGCCUCCCCUGACCGCCUCGAUCAAGUUACAGACCCAUUUGUUUUCCCCGCACAAAGCACUGUAGUCUGCCAGCUUCUCCCCCUUCUGCUCCAGCCGGGGGAGCUGGGCCAAGAGUUCAUCUCCGAGUAGCGCAGGCCCAGUACUUCUCACUAAGGAACACAGAAAAUGUCACAGCCAGCCCCAUCUUCAUACCUUGUAUGCAUCUUCAUCAAUUUCCAGGCCCCUGGAGCAGUUCCCAGCCUCUACUCCUUUUCAGCUGAGACUCACAAAUAUGUCAGUUGAAUGUCCUUCUCUGGUAAGCUUCAGGAGGCAUUUGAUCAAGUCUAUCUCAUUCUGCACUGCUUCUACAGCACAGACCACAGUGCUUGACGAAGAGUUGAUGCUUAACAGAUAUUCAAUGGAUGAAUAAAACCUCCCGAUAAUACUGUAGCAUAAAUAUUUUCAUUUUCCUGAUUGUGUAGAGAAGGCAACUGAGACCCCAAUUGGUGAAAUGUCUAACCCACGUUGACCCAGCCAGUAAAUAGCUGCACUAAGAUUCAAAUGCAGGUUUUCGCCAAGUGUUUGCUGCAUUUGAUUUAUAUUAAGGUCACGCUGGAAACGUUAACAAAGGCAAUUUUUAAAAAUAAAGAAGCUGAAACUGCCCAGUGUUCCCUCUCCACCCCCAACACAGCAUGACUUGUGCAAGCCAGAAGGUUCUGAGCAACCCACGCAAGGCGGAGGCCAGGAGACAGGGGCGGCCCUUGUCCCUCAGCUGCGGGGACUGGAUCCUCACACGGAGCCCCUCCCGGCUUGUCCCCACCAGGGCAGAACUUGGAUAAAAAAGUCUCAGAAGAACAAAGACCACAUUUUCCCCUGCAAGGCAGAGAGGCCAGCACUGGGGAAACAAUGGCCUUGCCAGGAUCAAAGAGAGCUGGGCCCAGACUGGGGACAAAAGCUGAGCCCCAGCUUGAUAAGAAUGACAGCCUGCCCUCCUCCUCCUUGUGUUACAAAGGUCUAGGGUGGGGGCAACGGCAAGCAUGUGUGCAGG
ensembl:lncRNA